rnacentral:rRNA from 1 species
UGGAGGGACGGAGAAGGCUAGGCCAGCACGGCGUUGGUUGUCCGUGUUUAAGGUUGUAGGCUGGUUUCUUAGGUAAAUCCGGGAGAUCAAGGCCGAGAACUGAUGACGAGCGUUCUUUUAGAAUGCGAAGUGGUUGAUGCCAUGCUUCCAGGAAAAGCUUCUAAGCUUCAGGUAACUAGGAACCGUACCCCAAACCGACACAG